AUUGAGAGGAAGAAGACGUUACUGCUCCCACAGGAUAGCUAGAAUCUGAUCUCCUGUACAAGGCACUGCACGGGCUGCCGACCAGGAGACAGGGAGCAGCAGGAUCAGAGAUGAGCCUGGGCUAAGGACCUGCUACCAGAGGACUUGGCCAGGAGAGUAUUUCUCCAAAGGAUUAAACAAAGACCUGGAAAUCUGAAUGUCACUACCAAGAGAGGGGACUAUGUGGGGAUACACUACAGCAAGGCCUGUGAUGCAGUGAUUACCCUGUUUAGGAGCUGACAACACUGAGGUUCAGAGUUCAGUAACUUCUCUACUGUCAGAACCAUCAGGCCACAGUCCUACAACCUGGAUCCAGGUCAACAGCAACAGGACUCAAGCUUAUAGCCUUCCCACACAUUCACAAGUGGACUUCUGGAGG